GCCUCCAUAGUGUAGUGGUUUACACAUUUGCCUAGCAAGCAAAAGAUCCCUGGUUAGAUUCCGGGAGGAGACA